rnacentral:rRNA from 1 species
GAUGAACGCUAGCGGCAGGCUUAACACAUGCAAGUCGAGGGGUAUAGUUCUUCGGAGCUAGAGACCGGCGCACGGGUGCGUAACGCGUAUGCAAUCUACCUUUUGCAGAGGGAUAGCCCAGAGAAAUUUGGAUUAAUACCUCAUAGUAUGUGAGAAUGGCAUCAUUUUCACAUUAAAGUCACAACGGCAAAAGAUGAGCAUGCGUCCCAUUAGCUUGUUGGUAAGGUAACGGCUUACCAAGGCAACGAUGGGUAGGGGUCCUGAGGGGGAGAUCCCCCCAACUGGUACUGAGACACGGACCAGACUCCUACGGGAGGCGGCAGUGAGGAAUAUUGGGCAAUGGGCGCAAGCCUGAUCCAGCCAUGCCGCGUGCAGGAUGACGGUCCUAUGGAUUGUAAACUGCUUUUGUACAGGAAGAAACACUGGUUCGUGAACCAGCUUGACGGUACUGUAAGAAUAAGGAUCGGCUAACUCCGUGCCAGCCGCCGCAGUAAUAC